rnacentral:rRNA from 1 species
UACGAGGGGUGCAAGCGUUAAUCGGAAUUACUGGGCGUAAAGGGCGCGUAGGGGGCCUCGUAAGUCGGAUGUGAAAGCCCCGGGCUUAACCUGGGAAUUGCAUUCGAUACUGCCUGGCUCGAGUACAGUAGAGGAGAGCGGAAUUCCAGGUGUAGCGGUGAAAUGCGUAGAUAUCGGGAGGAACAUCAGUGGCGAAGGCGGCUCUCUGGACUGAUACUGACACUGAGGCGCGAAAGCGUGGGGAGCAAACAGG